GCUUACGGCCAUUACAUCCUGAACACGCCUGAUAUCGUCUUAUCUCGGAAGAUAAGCAAGGUUGGGCCUGGUUAGUACUUGGAUAGGAGACUGCCUGGGAAAUCUGGGUGCUAUAAUUA
rnacentral:rRNA from 1 species